UACAUGUUAAUGAAAUUUAAAAGAAUUGUCUAAAGGCCUAGCUUACCAAGCUUACUUGCGUCAGAAGGUAAUGCGUAUACUAACAAUGUGUAUGCUUAGACAGUCCCUGUCCCAUUAGUGUACAAUAUUGCCAUCGUUUACUUUAAAGUUCAGAACCAAAGACAUAAUCACUUUUAUUAAACCAAAUGAAUUUCUCAGCUAGCUUGCACAUAAUCAAAAUAGAAAUUAUGCAAGAAGCAUCGAAAAUGAAAACAAAAAUUGUAUUUGUUUGAAUGCUUCCAAUCAAAUGAUUCUUAAGCGAUAUUAGGGAUUGAAACUGAGGAUGACAAAAUAUUAUAAAGAGCCUUCUUAGAUCUGUAGUAAAGCAAAUGCUAAUUGUAUAUCAAAUCGUUAAGACAGCUAACCUUUUUAGGUGUAGAUACACUCUUGUCAGAUCAUGCUUGAUGUCGGUCUAUGGAGUUAAGUCGGCUGUUUAAAGGAUGAACCAAACCAUCGCGACGGUUCAGAUUUAAGAACCGUAGACAAAACGGCGCCAUGGAAGCCACAGACAGAGCUUUUAAUUGAUGACUUGUCCAACUCUUCAUCACGAAACUCCAUUGUUGCUGUAGGACUUCAAAGAUCGAUGAGGCAGAUGAACCCUAAUUUAAGUUUCGAUUAGAUGAUGAUGUUCUCCUUCCUCGUCCUCUGAUGAUGAGUAGAUGGUUCUCAUUGUAACAAACACAACCUUUUUAUAGUCUCAGUCCCACCGCUUUACAUGAGGGAAGCUCGCAUUCAAGUUAUGUCGUGGGUGAAGGAUUUAAGAAGGAUUUUAAGAGGAUGAAUCUGUAACUGAUAGCUCUUGGGUUUGUUAGAAUGAUGAAAGAACACUACCAGAUUUCAGGUUGUGUCUUCAUCGAGAACGCGGAGAUGAACCUGGUUCUACCCUAAUAUUAAAAUGCUGCGUAAUGCCGCUUUACAUUAAGAGAUAUUCGAGAGGGGCUGGGUCAAUCGUGCAAAUUUAAGGCCCGAUCAGAAGACGAAGCCGAACUGUAUGCAGAGUAACUUAAAUAAAACGAUGCGGAUUGAUUACCUGACACGUGUCACGACCAGAAUACUCGACUUAUUGACAUGGCGCUGACGUGUCUCUCUCAGGAGUGAGACCAACAUUUUUUUUUAUAUAUAUAGAUUUCCUAAUAAUGAAUUUUGUAACACGCUGAUUAGAUACCUAAAUUUGUUAAACUUAUAAAAUUGAUCUAUAAUUGAUUUUUUUUAUCUUUUUCAUUUGUUUCAAGAAAGAGAUUAACUAUCAUUUGUAUUUUUCUAAUGACUUUAACAUAUAUAUUUUCACAUUAAUUGAUGUGAUUGUAAGAAUUUUAAAAAUAAUUGUACUUUUAGCAUAAUAUUUCCAUUAGAAUAGUUUAGUUGGUUUAAGUUUUACUUCGUAGUUUUGGUUUUGGUAUCUUAUAAGAAAUUGUAAAACAUUAUUUUUUAAAAAAACCAACACAUUUAAGUUUCGCCAGUUAUUUAUUUUAAGCUAAAGUUUAAUUCGAUGGCUAGAUAAUUCAAAAUAAGUCUCAUGUGCAAAUAAAGAAACACAAACAAUGUACAAAGAACCUCAGAGAAUGAUGUGAGAAUAUUUAUGAGAAAACUUCCAAUAUUUUUUUUUGUUUUUUACAUGUGUUCCAGGAAGUCUUCCAAAUCGUGUCUAUUAUUCUCACCUAAAAUUUUAAGAAAUUUUUUUCUUUUCGCUUAAAUAUUAUUUUGUUAAAAAAAAUUAAAAUAAUAAAUUUAAAAUUUUACAUAAUAAUAAUUACUUUUUAAAAACUAAAACUGAAAAUCUAAAAAAUAAAUCAUGAAUCCUAGUUCUUUUGAAAAAAAAAAAAAGAAACACUAGUUCUUUCAACUUAUUCCCUCUCAGCCGUCACACAAACUCAUCUCAGAUAUCUUGCCACGCCAGAUCUCUCUCUCCCGUGCCUCUCUCUCUAACACCAGAGCUCUCUAUCUCUAGCCGGACCUCUCUCACGCUCCCUCCUCUCUCUUGCUCGCCUUCAGGUCUCUUCUCUAGCCGGAUUCUCUCUCUCUUGUGGCUCUCUCUCGCCGGACCUCCCGCACAGUUAUCUCUCUCUCUAUGUCUGUGUGUGUGUGUCAGUUUUGAAUCAGAUUUGUUUUUGAUGUUGGUGGAGGAGGAUGGAGAAGAAGCUUGACGGAGGAGGCUCCUCGCCGUGACUUUUCUUUCCGUCCCAAAAACCUCAAUUGAAGCAUCUCGUGGCUAUUGUUCAGGAGAUAAACUAUAGACUUUCAAAGGUUGAAACUUUGAUAGAGAGGAUGGAGAAGAAGCUUGACGGAAGAGGAUGGAGAAGAAGCGGCCGGCUGUGGAGGCUUCCGCGGGAAGGACGGCGGCGAGCAGACAGCGGUAAUCUUUCCUCAGCCUCGUCCGCUGUUCAUAUUCGAGGUAGUGUUUUUUUUGGGUUUUGUUUCUUUUGUUUCGGUGAGUUUUCAUUUGUUUAUGCUGAGAUUUGUAUUAAUUUCCAUAGUUUUGUGAUUUUUUUUGUUUUUGUUUUGAUGAAUCUUCAUUUGGGGUUUUAAAUGUUUAUGCAAAAAGAAACUUUUAUGAUUUGAGAGAUUCGGGGUUUGAUCUCUUUAUGUUGUGAUUGUGACAUCUCAGACUAAGUAAAAGAUGGUGUGGUGGACC